GACGAACGCUGGCAGCGUGCUUAACACAUGCAAGUCGAACGGAAAGGCCCUGCUUUUGUGGGGUGCUCGAGUGGCGAACGGGUGAGUAACACGUGAGUAACCUGCCCUUGACUUUGGGAUAACUUCAGGAAACUGGGGCUAAUACCGGAUAGGAGCUCCUGCUGCAUGGUGGGGGUUGGAAAGUUUCGGCGGUUGGGGAUGGACUCGCGGCUUAUCAGCUUGUUGGUGGGGUAGUGGCUUACCAAGGCUUUGACGGGUAGCCGGCCUGAGAGGGUGACCGGCCACAUUGGGACUGAGAUACGGCCCAGACUCCUACGGGAGGCAGCAGUGGGGAAUAUUGCACAAUGGGCGGAAGCCUGAUGCAGCAACGCCGCGUGCGGGAUGACGGCCUUCGGGUUGUAAACCGCUUUCGCCUGUGACGAAGCGUGAGUGACGGUAAUGGGUAAAGAAGCACCGGCUAACUACGUGCCAGCAGCCGCGGUGAUACGUAGGGUGCGAGCGUUGUCCGGAUUUAUUGGGCGUAAAGGGCUCGUAGGUGGUUGAUCGCGUCGGAAGUGUAAUCUUGGGGCUUAACCCUGAGCGUGCUUUCGAUACGGGUUGACUUGAGGAAGGUAGGGGAGAAUGGAAUCCCUGGUGGAGCGGUGGAAUGCGCAGAUAUCAGGAGGAACACCAGUGGCGAAGGCGGUUCUCUGGGCCUUUCCUGACGCUGAGGAGCGAAAGCGUGGGGAGCGAACAGGCUUAGAUACCCUGGUAGUCCACGCUGUAAACGGUGGGUACUAGGUGUGGGGUCCAUUCCACGGGUUCCGUGCCGUAGCUAACGCUUUAAGUACCCCGCCUGGGGAGUACGGCCGCAAGGCUAAAACUCAAAGGAAUUGACGGGGCCCCGCACAAGCGGCGGAGCAUGCGGAUUAAUUCGAUGCAACGCGUAGAACCUUACCAGGGUUUGACAUGGAUCGGGAGUGCUCAGAGAUGGGUGUGCCUCUUUUGGGGUCGGUUCACAGGUGGUGCAUGGCUGUCGUCAGCUCGUGUCGUGAGAUGUUGGGUUAAGUCCCGCAACGAGCGCAACCCUUGUUCACUGUUGCCAGCACGUUAUGGUGGGGACUCAGUGGAGACCGCCGGGGUCAACUCGGAGGAAGGUGGGGAUGACGUCAAGUCAUCAUGCCCCUUAUGUCCAGGGCUUCACGCAUGCUACAAUGGCUGGUACAGAGAGUGGCGAGCCUGUGAGGGUGAGCGAAUCUCGGAAAGCCGGUCUCAGUUCGGAUUGGGGUCUGCAACUCGACCUCAUGAAGUCGGAGUCGCUAGUAAUCGCAGAUCAGCAACGCUGCGGUGAAUACGUUCCCGGG
rnacentral:rRNA from 1 species